rnacentral:tmRNA from 1 species
GUUGGUUUUCCAACUAUAACGAUAAACGAAAUUCGUAAUAAACAUUUUGGACCA